rnacentral:rRNA from 1 species
GGGUGAUCUGCCCUGAACUUUGGGAUAAGCCUGGCAUUCUGGGUCUAAUACCGGAUAUGACCUUGGAGUGCAUGCUCUGGGGUGGAAAGCUUUUGCGGUUCAGGAUGGGCCCGCGGCCUAUCAGCUUGUUGGUGGGGUAAUGGCCUACCAAGGCGACGACGGGUAGCCGACCUGAGAGGGUGAUCGGCCACACUGGGACUGAGACACGGCCCAGACUCCUACGGGAGGCAGCAGUGGGGAAUAUUGCACAAUGGGCGCAAGCCUGAUGCAGCGACGCCGCGUGAGGGAUGACGGCCUUCGGGUUGUAAACCUCUUUCACCAGGGACGAAGCGCAAGUGACGGUACCUGGAGAAGAAGCACCGGCCAACUACGUGCCAGCAGCCGCGGUAAUACGUAGGGUGCGAGCGUUGUCCGGAAUUACUGGGCGUAAAGAGCUCGUAGGCGGUUUGUCGCGUCGUCUGUGAAAUUCUGCAACUCAAUUGUAGGCGUGCAGGCGAUACGGGCAGACUUGAGUACUACAGGGGAGACUGGAAUUCCUGGUGUAGCGGUGAAAUGCGCAGAUAUCAGGAGGAACACCGGUGGCGAAGGCGGGUCUCUGGGUAGUAACUGACGCUGAGGAGCGAAAGCGUGGGUAGCGAACAGGAUUAGAUACCCUGGUAGUCCACGCCGUAAACGGUGGGUACUAGGUGUGGGGCUCAUUUCACGAGUUCCGU